UGGGGAAUAUUGCACAAUGGGCGGAAGCCUGAUGCAGCGACGCCGCGUGAGGGAUGACGGCCUUCGGGUUGUAAACCUCUUUCAGUACCGACGAAGCGAGAGUGACGGUAGGUACAGAAGAAGCACCGGCCAACUACGUGCCAGCAGCCGCGGUAAUACGUAGGGUGCGAGCGUUGUCCGGAAUUACUGGGCGUAAAGAGCUCGUAGGCGGUUUGUCACGUCGGCUGUGAAAUCCCAUCGCUCAACGGUGGGCUUGCAGUCGAUACGGGCUGACUUGAGUACUGCAGGGGAGACUGGAAUUCCUGGUGUAGCGGUGAAAUGCGCAGAUAUCAGGAGGAACACCGGUGGCGAAGGCGGGUCUCUGGGCAGUAACUGACGCUGAGGAGCGAAAGCGUGGGUAGCAAACA
rnacentral:rRNA from 1 species